CCCUUAGAUGUUCUGGGCUGCACGCGUGCUACAAUGGCGUUUCCAGCAAGUCUGCGAACCCGAGAGGGCCAGCGGAUCUUCGAAUUGGCGUCGUGAUCGGGACAGUCGAUUGCAAUUAUUUGACUCAAACGAGGAAUUCCUUGUAAUCGCGAUUCAUCAUAUCGCGCUGAAUACGUCCCUGCCCUUUGUACACACCGCCCGUCGCUCCUACCGAUUGAGCGAGCCGGUAAAUGUUUUGGAUUGGUGCCGGGGCGGCUAGCUGCCGGUCGCUACGAAAUUUUGUGAACCUUAUCGCUUAGAGGAAGGAAAAGUCGUAACA
rnacentral:rRNA from 1 species